CCUACGGGAGGCAGCAGUGGGGAAUUUUGGACAAUGGGCGAAAGCCUGAUCCAGCCAUUCCGCGUGAGUGGAGAAGGCCUUCGGGUUGUAAAGCUCUUUCGCAAGGGAAGAAAACUUAGUCUCUAACAUAGACUGAGGUUGACGGUACCUUGAUAAGAAGCACCGGCUAACUACGUGCCAGCAGCCGCGGUAAUACGUAGGGUGCGAGCGUUAAUCGGAAUUACUGGGCGUAAAGCGUGCGCAGGCGGUUUUGUAAGUCAGAUGUGAAAUCCCCGAGCUCAACUUGGGAACUGCGUUUGAAACUACAAGACUAGAAUAUGUCAGAGGGGGGUAGAAUUCCACGUGUAGCAGUGAAAUGCGUAGAGAUGUGGAGGAAUACCAAUGGCGAAGGCAGCCCCCUGGGAUAAUAUUGACGCUCAUGCACGAAAGCGUGGGGAGCAAACAGGAUUAGAUACCCUGGUAGUCCACGCCCUAAACGAUGUCUACUAGUUGUUGGUGGAGUAAAAUCCAUGAGUAACGCAGCUAACGCGUGAAGUAGACCGCCUGGGGAGUACGGUGCAAGAUUAAAACGUCAAAGGAAUUGACGGCUUGAGACGNGCGAGACGACGACGAGGAGGAGG
rnacentral:rRNA from 1 species